CAGCCGCCGCGGUAAAACGAAGGGGGCUAGCGUUGUUCGGAAUUACUGGGCGUAAAGCGCACGUAGGCGGACAUUUAAGUCAGGGGUGAAAUCCCGGGGCUCAACCCCGGAACUGCCUUUGAUACUGGGUGUCUAGAGUAUGGAAGAGGUGAGUGGAAUUCCGAGUGUAGAGGUGAAAUUCGUAGAUAUUCGGAGGAACACCAGUGGCGAAGGCGGCUCACUGGUCCAUUACUGACGCUGAGGUGCGAAAGCGUGGGGAGCAAACAGGAUUAGAUACCCCGGUAGUCCCUGUCUCUUAUAA
rnacentral:rRNA from 1 species